rfam:Brassica oleracea var. oleracea cultivar TO1000 chromosome C1, whole genome shotgun sequence
AACCCAUAGUGAGGGCAUUCCUUUCGGUACUCCUUGUAACGCUCCCAAGCAUCAUAGAAGGGUUAGUCUGUCUUUUACAUGAAGUUGAAGAUCUUAGGCCUCAGAGC